AUGUAAGAUUGUUUACACCUUUAUUACCUGUUAUCUCCCAAAGCCACCAUGAUCCAAACUUCACACUCGCUGAUCGUUCCUCCCUGUGCUGGGGACAAUACGCAGAGAAACUUUCAGCUUUUAUAAAAUAACGAAGCUCGGGCACGCGCUGCCUCUUACUCUAUUAUAACUAUCUAU